rnacentral:rRNA from 1 species
CUACGAGGGGUGCAAGCGUUAAUCGGAAUUACUGGGCGUAAAGCGUUCGUAGGCGGUUUGUUAAGCAAGAUGUGAAAGCCCUGGGCUCAACCUGGGAACUGCAUUUUGAACUGGCAAGCUAGAAUACUGUAGAGGGUGGUGGAAUUUCCAGUGUAGCGGUGAAAUGCGUAGAGAUUGGAAGGAACAUCAGUGGCGAAGGCGGCCACCUGGACAGAUAUUGACGCUGAGGAACGAAAGCGUGGGGAGCGAACAGGAUUAGAUACCCCAGUAGUCC